rnacentral:lncRNA from 1 species
GAAAAAGUGGUCGAGUAGCCAUCGGAAUCGUUCGACAACAUCCGAGGUAAGUUCUUGAGUAAAAGAGCUUAAAUUAUGAUUUGAUUAGAUCAUGUUUUAAGCAAAUCAAAAUCAUGCUCUUUGUGUGUGGCUAUUGAGCCAAAAUUGCAAGAAUGAUAAGAGUCUUGUGUUUGAGUUUUGCUAACGAAAAUGAAAUACGAAUGUGCCAUGAUUUGUUGUUAAAUGUGCAUGGUUAUUUGAAUGAUGUCCGGGCUAAGUCCCGAAGGCUUUGUGCUAGGUGACCAUAUCCAGACUAAGAUCCGAAGGCAUUUGUACGAGUUACUAAAUCCGGACUAAGAUCCGAAGGCAUUUGUGCGAGUUACUAAAUCCGGGUUAAGUCCCGAAGGCAUUUGUGCGAGUUACUAAAUCCGGGUUAAGUCCCGAAGGCAUUUGUGCGAGUUACUAUAACCGGGCUAUGUCCCGAAGGCAUUUGAACGAGUAGCUAUAUCCGGUUAAAUUCCGAAGGUACGUGAUUUGGGAAUGAAUGAUCUUGCUGUAAAAAUUUCAGUUAAUACACUUGAAACAUCCCAACAUUGAGGUAUGUUUCGUAUGUGCUUUGAAUUAGUUGAGCCCUUACAAAUAAGUAUUCGCACAGUUGAUAAAUGAGCUACCGGCCUUUGGCUAAGUUGAUCUUUGUGUAUGAAUAAAAGGGUUGGUAAUGUGAAGUAAGUAUGAUAUUGAAAAAUUGUGCGUAUGAAAUUAUCCGUUUAGCUACAUGAAUGCUAUAAUUUUGUUGUGCUGGAAUCCCUUGCUCAAAACUUACUAAGCAUAAAUUGCUUACUCCGUCUCCUUGAUUCUCUGUUUUAUAGAUUUUGGUUCUCCAGCUAUCGGACUCGGGAUUUUGAAGUCGAAGUCGCCCACACUAUCAAAGCCCCCCCCUUUUUGGUACAAUUUUGGUUGAACUUCGAAAUGGCAUGUAUAGGACUACCCUUUUUGUUGGGGGUCAUGGACCCUUUGGACUUGUAUAAUUUUGGAUAGCCAUGCGAAAAUGGCUUAUAUAUGUUUGAGUAUAAUGUUAUAAUCAUUUGGUAUGGAUAUGGUUAUUGAGAGGUGUGGAUAUGCUUAACAAGGAUUGGCCAUGGAAAUGGUUAACCACUAUCAUAAUUUGUGCUAUUUAUGCUAAAAGGGUUAGUUGAAUCAUGGAAACUAUGAAAUAGGUAAAGUCUACCUUAAAGGCAAAUGCUGACAGCAUCAGUGAUGUAGAUUUGGAAAAUCACUAAAAAUAGUAGGAAGGGAAUUAAAUAGUGAAUAAAUUAUGUAAACGAACCUUGAUGAAUCUAUUUUCAUAGGAAAGUAAGGAAAUGAUCAUAUGGAAAGUAUGUUAAGAGAUAUUCAGGUUCUCGUAAGACAGGGCCAGAACGGUUUCCGGAUUCCCUGUUUCGACUUUGAAAAUUCAAUAUAAAUUAACCAGAAAUAAUUAGGAGUCAUACCAUAUAUGUAUAGAUUCCUCUUUGAGUCUAGUUUCUAUAGAAACAAACGACAUCAGUAUUGAAUCCCUGUACAGGGAGAUAUCCAAGUCGUAAUGCGCAAAGGUCAGUAUAGUCGAUCCCUGUAACAUGGGAGACUUUGACUAAUAAACUGUACUAAUUGGCCCAACCAAAAAUUCUAGAAAAAAAUAUUUUGAUAUUCAUUUGAGUCUAGUUUCAGGGAAAAUUUACGGAACUGGAUUCUGAGUUUCUGAACUAAAGAUAUGAUUUUUAAAGCAACUAGUACGCAGAUUGGCAGUGUCUGGGAAAUUUGUUUAUAAGUGGUUAAAGUCUGUUAACACCUCGUGUUCGACUCCGGUGACGGUCUCGGGUUCGUGGUGUUAAAUUUGAUUGGUAUCAGGGCUACGGUUUAUUCGAUUCUAGGACUACCGUAAUGCGUUGGGUCUAUUUAUACAUGCCAUUUUAUGUGAUUAUUUGAUAGUGUGGUGAUUUCUGACAAUUGUAAAUGUGUUUAUUUAUAGUAAUGGAUCCCGAUCCCGACCGAGCGGUAGCUGAUGAUCUUGAGAGUGUAGCGCCUGCUCCCGCACAAGGGACAGCGCCGGCGGACUCUCAACCUAAUGCUAGUAACCCGAAUGAUGAAGCUAGACAAGCUUUCUAUAGCGUGAUGAAUGAUUGGUUCAACCAAUACAUUCGAACUAAUACGGCUGUUCCACAACCUCCAUUCUCGACUAAUACCUCCCCCGCACCUACAAUACCUCCGAAAACUGACCAAAUAAGGUCAAAUAAGCCCCCAGUUGACAGAAUCUGAAAACAUGGGGCUACUGAAUUUAAAGCUACGGAUAGCGACGAUGCCGAGCAAGCUGAAUUUUGGUUGGACAACACUAUCCGGGUACUCGAUGAGCUAUCUUGUACACCCGAUGAAUGCCUAAAGUGUACUAUCUCCUUGCUACGCGAUUCUGCCUACUAUUGGUGGAGUACUCUGACUUCUGUUGUGCCCCGAGAGCAAGUAACUUGGGAGUUUUUCCAAACUGAGUUUCGGAAAAAGUAUAUCAGUCAGAGAUUUGUUGAUCAAAAACGGAAGGAAUUUCUUGAGCUUAAGCAAGGUUCUAUGUCAGUUACUGAUUACGAGCGAAAAUUUGUUAGACUUAGUAGGUACGCUCGGGAAUGUGUUUCGUCCGAGGCUAUCAUGUGUAAACGCUUCGAGGAUGGGCUGAAUGAAGAUAUAAAAAUGUUCGUGGGCAUUCUUGAAAUACGAGAGUUCGUAGUACUUGUCGAGCGAGCUUGUAAAGCCGAAGAGCUUAGAAAAGAAAAACAAAAAGUUGAUGUGGGAACUGGAGAGUUUCGUAAAAGAUCCUCGGGAAAGUCUCUUCAACAGGCAUCGAAGAAAUUUCGAGAUGAUGUGGGCCGGUCUAGAGGCACUUCGGGCCUUUUUAGACGAGAUCGUGAUCGACCCCCUGUGGGUACACGAGGCACUUCGGUCGCCAGUGUUGGGAAUGAACGUCGAGACAGAAUGAAAUGUCGAUAUUGCGGUAAAUGGCAUUCGGGGAGUUGUAGAUUCCCUAACCGCUCCUGUUACAAGUGCGGAUCAGUUGACCACUUCAUUAAAGAUUGCCCGAGGUUGUCUGAACAGAAUGUAAAUCAGAGUGGGAAACCGGGUGCUACCACUGCUCGAGGUAGACCAUCUGGAAAUACGGGCAAUGCUAGUGGUGGUCAGAGAGGAUCUAGAGAUGCUACGACCAGAUCCGAGGCUCGUGCGCCUGCUAGAGCUUAUGCUAUAGUGCCCGCGAUGAUGCUUCUUCGCCUGAUGUUAUUACCGGUACUUUUACUCUCUUUGAUACUAAUGUAAUUGCUUUGAUUGACCCCGGUUCUACUCAUUCUUACAUAUGUGAAACCUUAGCAUCCAAUAAGACUUUACCUAUUGAGUCUACUGAGUUCGUAAUUCGGGUGUCAAAUCCCUUGGGUCGUUACGUGCUUGUCGACAAAGUGUGUAAGAAAUGUCCCCUAGUAAUUCGAGGUUCCUGUUUUUCGGCGGACUUGAUGCUUUUGCCGUUUGAUGAAUUUGAUGUUAUUCUUGGUUUGGAUUGGUUGACCGCGCAUGAUGCGGUUGUGAAUUGCAAAAGCAAGACUAUUGAUUUGAGAUGCGCAAAUAACGAGAUGAUCCGAGUUGAGUCUACGGACUUAAAGGGGUUGUCAGCUGUAAUAUCCUCAAUGUUGGCCCAGAAAUAUGUAAGAAAAGGGUGCGAAGCAUACCUUGCGUAUGUACUUGAUGGCAAAGAAUUAGAAAAGAAACCCGAAUCUGUGCCGGUGGUUUGUGAAUACCCGGAUGUUUUUCCUGAAGAAUUACCAGGUUUACCACCUGUUCGGGAGAUAGAGUUUGGUAUUAAGCUUGUACCUGGGACUACGCCGAUUUCGAUAGCUCCGUAUCGCAUGGUACCAACCGAGUUAAAAGAGUUGAAAGCUCAGUUGCAAGAAUUGACGGAUAGAGGUUUUGCUCGACCAAGUUUCUCACCUUGGGGUGCACCAGUAUUGUUCGUGAAAAAGAAGGACGGAACCAUGAGGUUGUGCAUUGACUAUCGUCAACUGAAUAAAGUGACGAUAAAGAAUAAAUAUCCGUUACCGCGUAUUGAUGAUUUGUUUGAUCAACUAAAAGGAGCCUCAGUGUUCUCAAAAAUAGAUUUGAGAUCGGGCUAUUAUCAGUUGCGAAUUCGAGAUUCGGACGUACCCAAAACUGCCUUCAGAACGAGAUAUGGUCACUACGAAUUCUUAGUGAUGCCGUUUGGGCUCACUAAUGCCCCUGCGGUAUUUAUGGAUUUGAUGAAUCGGAUCUUCAGACCAUAUUUGGAUCGGUUCGUAGUUGUGUUCAUUGAUGACAUCUUGGUCUAUUCAAGAGAUGAGACCGAACAUGCUGAGCACCUGAGACUAGUGUUGCAAAUUUUGCGGGAUAAGCAGUUAUAUGCUAAGUUUAGUAAGUGUGAGUUCUGGUUAAGAGAGGUUAGCUUCUUGGGUCAUGUGGUAUCCGCAUCGGGUAUUCGAGUUGACCUGAACAAAAUUUCAGCCAUACUUAACUAGAUACCUCCGAGAAAUAUUACUGAGGUUCGGAGCUUUUUGGGACUCGCCGGUUAUUACCGACGAUUUGUCAAAGGUUUAUCGAUGAUAGCCACACCAAUGACGAAGCUACUUCAAAAGGAUGUUAAGUUCGAAUGGACGGAGAAAUGUCAGAAAAGUUUCGAUCAAUUGAAAACUUAUUUGACUGAAGCUCCAAUUUUAGUGCAACCCGAAUCAGGCAAAGAGUUUGUCAUUUAUAGUGACGCAUCCCUACUUGGGUUGGGUUCCGUAUUGAUGCAAGAAGGUCGAGUGGUGGCCUAUGCGUCGAGACAAUUAAAGCCACAUGAGAAAAAUUAUCCGACCCAUGAUCUUGAACUAGCUGCCAUCGUAUUUGCUUUAAAAAUAUGGCGACAUUACUUAUUUGGUAAAAAGUGCCAUGUAUUUUCGGAUCACAAAAGUCUCAAACAUUUGAUGACUCAAAGAGACUUAAAUCUGCGACAAAGACGUUGGCUUGAGUUGUUGAAAGAUUACGAGCUUGUCAUUGAUUACCACCCGGGAAAGGCUAAUGUGGUUGCGGACGCCUUAAGCCAGAAAUCAUUGUUUGCUUUACGAGCGAUGAAUGUGCACUUGUCUGUUCUACCCGACAAUGUGUUAGUAGCUGAAUUAAAAGCCAAACCAUUAUUGAUUCAUCAAAUUCGUGAAGCCCAGAAUGUUGAUGAUGAAUUGGUUGCAAAACGGGCUGAGUGUGUUCCGAACAAGGAAUCGGAGUUUCAAAUUGAUGAUGAUGAUUGUUUGAGGUUCAGAAGUCGUUUGUGUGUUCCAAGGAAUUCGGAACUCAUUUCGAUGAUUCUGAACGAAGCCCAUUGUAGCCGAAUGUCAAUUCACCCGGGGAGUACGAAAAUGUACAACGAUUUGAAACGUCGGUUUUGGUGGCAUGGUAUGUAACGAGACAUCUCCGACUUUGUUUCGAGAUGUUUAAUAUGUCAACAAGUGAAAGCAGAACAUCAAGUGCCUUCAGGAUUACUUCAGCCGAUCAUGAUACCCGAGUGGAAAUGGGAUCGAGUCACAAUGGACUUUGUGUCCGGACUGCCAUUGUCAGCAAGUAAGAAAGAUGCGAUUUGGGUUGUUGUCGAUAGGCUGACUAAGUCGGCUCACUUUAUCCCCGUGCGUACGGAUUUUUCAUUUGAUAAACUAGCUGAAUUGUACGUUUCUCAGAUUGUGAGAUUACACGGGGUACCUAUUUCUAUCGUGUCGGAUAGAGAUCCGAGAAUCACCUCACGAUUUUGGAGGAAAUUGCAAGAAGCUUUGGGUAACAAGCUGCAUUUUAGCACUGCUUUUCACCCCCAAACCGAUGGUCAAUCUGAGCGGAUAAUUCAGAUACUUGAGGAUAUGUUGAGAUGUUGCAUCCUCGAGUUCAGUAGUUCAUGGGAACGGUAUUUACCUUUGAUUGAAUUCGCUUACAACAAUAGUUUUCAAUCAAGUAUUAAGAUGUCACCUUACGAGGCUUCGUACGGUCGUAAAUGCCGCACACCAUUGUUUUGGACCGAGCUCGGUGAAAGUAAAAUUUUCGGAGUUGAUUUGAUUAAAGAUGCCGAACAGAAAGUAAAGGUAAUCCGUGAAAGUCUGAAGGCAGCCACAGAUCGUCAAAAAUCGUAUGCGGAUUUGAAAUGAAAAGACAUUGAAUAUCAGGUGGGAGAUAAAGUGUUUCUUAAAGUUUCGCCUUGGAAAAAGGUACUCAGAUUUGGCCGUAAGGGCAAGUUGACCCGAGAUUCAUUGGGCCGUACGAAAUCUCCGAACGAGUUGGUCCGGUCGCGUAUAGAUUGAUUUUGCCCCCUGAACUUGAAAAGAUUCACGAUGUCUUUCAUGUUUCGCUGCUUCGACGUUAUAGAUCCGAUCCGUCACAUGUGAUUAAUCCCUCAGAAGUUGAAAUUCAAUCUGACUUGAGUUAUGAAGAAGAACCGAUUCGUAUCCUAGCUCGUGAAGUGAAAGAGUUGCGAAACAAAAGGGUUCCGUUAGUUAAGGUGUUAUGGCUCAAACACGGGAUCGAGGAAGCUACUUGGGAAACCGAGAGCUCAAUGAAAGAACGAUACCCAAACCUAUUUACCGGUAAGAUUUUCGGGGACGAAAAUUUCUUAAGUGGGGGAGAGUUGUGACAGCCCAAAAUUGACCCUAGUCGGGAAGUGGUUUCGGGACCACUAAACCGAGUCAUAAAAAUAAUUAAUCGUCAUAAUUGAUGCUCAUUAUAUGUACAUGUGCAUGUGUGAAAAUUUCGUGUUUGAAUUUUGUUAAUUGUAAGUGAAUUUUAUCAAAUAGGACUUAUGUGAGAAAAUUUUGAAAUGUGCUAGGCAAAUGCAAAGUGGCCUAUUAAUGCAUAUUGUGAAAAUGAUGGGUUUGCAUGUCAAUUUACCCAAAUUAAGGCAUAGUGGCCGGCCAUGCUAUGAGUGGAAACAUGUCACAAACAUGUUAUGUUAGUGAGGUAUGUUAGGAAAAAUAAAAUAAGGAGUAUGGGUAAUAAAGAAAUGGAAACAAAAAAAAUGUGUGGUUGUUUCCCCCCCCAUUGUCGUGAGUUAAAGAAAAGAAAAGAAAAAAUUUUGUUCAUCCUUUUUCAUCUUCUUUUGGCCGAAAAUUCUAAGGAAGGAGGAAGGAGUUCUUGCUUCAUGUUUGGUUUGGAAGAGGAUUAGGAGGAGGUUUGGCCAUACUUGUAUCUAGAUCAAGGUAUGUUUGAGGUUGUGCCAUGAGAUUCAUGCAUGUUUUUAGUUGCUAGCUUGAGUUCUAAUUAGCCCAUGGUUCAAAUCUUUGCUAUGUCAUGGGGAUGAUAUUCGGCCUAGGUGGAUUUUGUGUUAAUGCCAUUGCAUGCUAAAUAUGAAGCUUGUUAAUGAUGCAUGUGAUGGUGGAUUGAUGAUUCUUGAAUCUUCUUUUUAGCAUUUUUGAGUGAGCACAUAUGUGCAUUGGUUGCUAGAUGGAGAAGAAUCGGCUAGCAAGUUGUGUGCUAAGGCCGAAUAUAAUUUUUGUAUAUUAAUGAGUAAUGCAUGUGUUAAAUUGAUGGAAAGGGAGAGGAUGCUUUACUAGUGUAUAUAUGUGUGUAUUAGCCAAGUUUUGAACUUGAAACAAAAUGGUGUUUAGUCAAUACAAGUAACCAUACUUCUAGAAUGUAUUAAGUGUUGCAAUCGGCCCCAACAUAGACAUGUAUGUUCGGCCACAUGAAUAAGUACAUAAGCUAUGUGUAUGUUCGGCCAUAGGUAGCCUAUUGAUGGCUUUAGCUUGACUUAGAAAAUUUGGCUAAGGGGAAAUAUUAGCUAGUAUGUUGAAUUCGAUUCGUGAUUUCGUACACAUGUGACUCUAAUGUCUAAUGUAUAUAUGGGCUAAGUACCUUGAGCUUCUCUUUUGAUGUUCGAAUGAAUUGUAUUAAAUUGCUUGAUGUGAUUAAAAAUGCGUAUGACCAUUGUGUAUUUGAGCUAAAAGGGUGGCCAUAUGACCUAUCAAACUCCUUGUCAUAUUCGGCCAUAAGCUAGCAAAAUGAGACUUUAAUGAGUUAAAUUUGUUUGAAUUAGCUCAAGAGCUUAGAGGACCCCAGUUGGAUAAGGGAAAGGAAAAAGUGGUCGAGUAGCCAUCGGAAUCGUUCGACAACAUCCGAGGUAAGUUCUUGAGUAAAAGAGCUUAAAUUAUGAUUUGAUUAGAUCAUGUUUUAAGCAAAUCAAAAUCAUGCUCUUUGUGUGUGGCUAUUGAGCCGAAAUUGCAAGAAUGAUAAGAGUCUUGUGUUUGAGUUUUGCUAACGAAAAUGAAAUACGAAUGUGCCAUGAUUUGUUGUUAAAUGUGCAUGGUUAUUUGAAUGAUGUCCGGGCUAAGUCCCGAAGGCUUUGUGCUAGGUGACCAUAUCCAGACUAAGAUCCGAAUGCAUUUGUACGAGUUACUAAAUCCGGACUAAGAUCCGAAGGCAUUUGUGCGAGUUACUAAAUCCGAGUUAAGUCCCGAAGGCAUUUGUGCGAGUUACUAAAUCCAGGUUAAGUCCCGAAGGCAUUUGUGUGAGUUACUAUAACCGGGCUAUGUCCCGAAGGCUUUUGAACGAGUAGCUAUAUCCGGUUAAAUUCCGAAGGUACAUGAUUUGGGAAUGAAUGAUCUUGCUGUAAAAAUUUCAGUUAAUACGCUUGAAACAUCCCAACAUUGAGGUAUGUUUCGUAUGUGCUUUGAAUUAGUUGAGCCCUUACAAAUAAGUAUUCGCUCAGUUGAUAAAUGAGCUACCGGCCUUUGGCUAAGUUGAUCUUUGUGUAUGAAUAAAAGGGUUGGUAAUGUGAAGUAAGUAUGAUAUUGAAAAAUUGUGCGUAUGAAAUUAUCCGUUUAGCUACAUGAAUGCUAUACUUUUGUUGUGCUGGAAUCCCUUGCUCAAAACUUACUAAGCAUAAAUUGCUUACUCCGUCUCCUUGAUUCUCUGUUUUAUAGAUUUUGGUUCUCCAGCUAUCGGACUCAGGAUUUUGAAGUCGAAGUCGCCCACAAUAUCAAAGCCCCUCCCUUUUUGGUACAAUUUUGGUUGAACUUCGAAAUGGCAUGUAUAGGACUACCCUUUUUGUUGGGGGUCAUGGACCCUUUGGACUUGUAUAAUUUUGGAUAGCCAUGCGAAAAUGGCUUAUAUAUGUUUGAGUAUAAUGUUAUAAUCAUUUGGUAUGGAUAUGGUUAUUGAGAGGUGUGGAUAUGCUUAACAAGGAUUGGCCAUGGGAAUGGUUAAUCACUAUCAUAAUUUGUGCUAUUUAUGCUAAAAGGGUUAGUUGAAUCAUGGAAACUAUGAAAUAGGUAAAGUCUAC